UUUCCCUGGGAGCUGAAGCACACUGAGCCAUGCAGUACUGCACCUAGAACAGAGAGAUCCAUGACAGCCUUCAGCGCUCGCACAGUCUGUGUUCCAUAAUUUAAGCACACAGAUACCACCAUCCCCCUCAAGAGUGUGUACAGCAUACGGCUGGCCGGGGAACGGAUGAGGCCAAUGUGUUCUGGCCAGCACUGAGCGCAGCAAGGACGCUAGCUGCACCACAGACGCCUUGCAGUGGAAAUGGGAUCGGACUUCAGCAACAAGAGCUCCACCCCAUCUCAACUAACUUCUUUCGAUGAGCACAUCGACUGUUAUGCUAUCUGAAAGAGCGUCGGGCAAGGUGUCUUUCCUUAUAAAACUCCCUGCAGCUACAGGGAAAGUAAAUAUG